rfam:Mycoplasma sp. CAG:611 genomic scaffold, scf7
GGUCCGUUGGUGAAGGGGUUUAACACACAAGGUUCUCAUCCUUGGAUUUCAUGGGUUCGAAACCCAUACGGAUCA